GGAAGACAAAAUCUGAUAAUUAAUCUUAAUACAAACUGUGGAAGUCUAAAUACAACUCUACCAAGAAUUUCGUAUCACAGCUUCACAGACGGUCUAAGAAUACUACAUACAAAGUCUAAAAGAUAAAUUACACAUUGUUUCUGAAAUGAGUAUAGGAAACAGGAUAAUGGAAAGAUAGGAGGUGACGCCAAGGCCCACGGAUGGUUGCAUGACUACCUUGGGUCGCCUAACCUCACUGCGAUCCGAAGUCUACAACACUGGGAUCUGCACAAAAAAGUGCAGAGUGUAGUAUCAGCACAACCAACCCCAUGUGCUGGUAAAUGUCUAGCCUAAUCUCGGCGAAGUAGUGACGAGGCUAGGACCAGACUACCAAAUAAACCUGUGCAGUUAUAUCAUAAACAACGAAAAUAGACAUAGAUAAUUACAAUUAAAAUUGGGCAGGGGAAACAUGCUUCGAGGAAUAACAGAUAACAACAGAAUAUCAAUAGAAUAUAAUGAAACCAAAAUCCAAUUACUAACAAGAAUAAGGAAAACAAAUGCAGAAUUCACUUUCAUUUCACAUCUUGUUGCAGGCGUGCAACUCGAUCCCAUUUCAUAUAUCUCGUUGCAGGCAUGCAACCAGAUCUCAUUUCAUAUAUCUCGUUGUAGGUGUACAACCCGCUCCUAUUUCAUAUAUUUUGUUGCAGGCGUGCAACCCACUCCCAUUUCACAUAUCUCGUUGCAGGCGUGCAACCUGCUCCCAUUUCAUAUAUCUCGUUGCAGGCGUGCAACCAGCUCCCAUAUCAUAUAUUUCCGUGGCGGCGUGCUACCCGAUCCCUGUCACACCCCUUUUUUUACCAAACCUCGCUAAACCCUCUUAAAAUAGUAAAAGAUUUAGUAAAAGCUUGAAAACGGUUUUCAAUUUGAAAAGUGACAAAAUUGUGUGUUCAAAAGGAUUAACUCAGAGUCGCCACCUGACAUUUGAUUUCGGCGUAUUAGCUCAUCGUUUUUCCAAAAGUAAUACUUUUCCUUUCAAAAAACUUUGAACUCUAAAACUAAGUCUACACCAGAGAUUUGGGUAAGGGGGUUCAUUUGACUCGGGGAGAAGGUGUUAGGCAUUCCCCGAGUCCCGUGAAGGUCACGGUUGCGUACUCGAUCUAGUUGGCUUUUAAAAUAUUCAAGUUGAGGUAAAUCACAGAAAAGAAAAAUAAACACAAAAGAGGCUCGAGGUCAUCCCCACCUAAAUGAUAGAAAAUUAAAAGAAGAAAAAAAACUAAAGUUCUAAAUUAUCCUAUGCUAUUUCUUCUACGAUGUUCGCCAUGACCUCCAAUUACAUAGUACUACGGGGAAUUCCCGGAAUAAAGUAUAUACAAAUCCUUCAGGGCAUUCCACGAAUAAAUUUAACUAAAGGAACGACCUCUCACCUCAGAACCAACAAAAAUCUUAAGGCUUGCCUACCCAAAUGUUGUCGGCCUAAGCAUGCUCCUAGCGGAAGAUGUAAUAAAAGUAAUAAAAUAAAACUAAAAGAAAUAGAAAUGAAUUUAAUUCUCAUUCCCUUUUGAGUUUAUUCUUUCAUGCAUUUGUCCGGCCAACUCAACUUCCCGCAGCCCGUGCGUGAACCAAAUAUUCAUCCAAUCAACCAAAACAAGCACAUACAAAUAGACGUCUAAGGCAGUAAGUAUUUAGCAUUGAAAAAAGUAAUAAAAAUAGUAAAAGCCUAUCCCAAUAAAAAGUUCCAAUACAUACAGAAAGAAGAGGACAAUGUGAGUUAAGUCCUAUACGACAGUUUAGGAAUUAAUAUGCCAUUUUCCUCGAUACUGUCACUACAUGAACUUUCAAAAACCAUUUAAGCUAAUUUGAACAAUUCUAGGAGUGAACAUGGAUGAAAUGUAAUGCAAAUAAUGACCAGGCUUCUGCCAAAUACUUAAACUAUUCUAAGAGGACAAAAGUAAACCCAGAACACAACUAGCUUAGACAACGUUCAGAAAACAUGUUUCACUAUAUAUCAGCACAGAGAACGGGUCUACAAACAAGAACAAGCAACUCAUCUCGUGAGAAAAUUAAUUUUUGAUUUUUUUCUUUGGCUUCAAGGAUCGAUUAUGUCCCAAACAGUCUGAGAUGACAAGAUAAUCCAGUGACUCACUUAACAUAUGAGGGGAAUAGCAUUUAGAGACAGCAGACAAAACAAAGAGUUGCACUUUCAGAUCAUUAUCCAGGAAAGAUAAGAGUUAUCAAUUCAAUCCCAAGGUAAAAGGAAAUCAAGUUGGUUUAAGUUCAAAGGCGAAUCCGCUAACUUCAACAAAACAUUAAUUAUUUAGUCAUGAAUUCAAACUGAGCUAAUCGAGAUUAGUAACAUCGAAGCAUAGGCGAACAAAACCAACCAUCAACUGGCCGACCAGACAAAUCAGCUGGAAUUUAAGCAAGAAGGCCAAUUGAAUACACUGCCCAUUUAUGUAAAACUCGACGCAAUCGAGUACCAAAUCAGCGAUUACAAAGUUAAGUCAUAUUGCAGUCCAAUGUGUCCAAACUAAACAGGUCCGAAACCAGAAACAUCUAAACACAUAAGUAAAGGAGAACACAAGUAACAAAAUGGGAUCAAAUCUAACUAAAAUCAAACGUGACACGGGAGACAGAAAUGAACCUGGAUAUUCAGAAUUUCAAUUAAUUUCAGAAGCGAGGACAAGAAAAGUUCAGCGACGAGGAACUGAAGUGAAUCGCAAACAAGAACAAUAACUUCGAAUAAGAACCCGAACGACAAAUGAACUUCAACUCCGACGAGCUUCAACCAACCUCAAUAAAGGUCCAUAUUUGAAGCGAAAUCCAAAAAAUGAAUUAAGAUUUUUAAUAUGUUUCUGAUUUUGCGAAUUGAAACAAAACUCAGAAUAAAAAUCAAACUUAAACUUCUUUUUUUCUUUUCCGUUUUUCUGGAAUGUAAAGCAAACACUAAAAAAAUCUCAAGACUCAAAGAACCCUAGACCUUUUUUCCGCCUUUUUUCUUUUUUUCCUCCUCUUCAAGACUGUCCGAAAACUUCCAAAUAUAUAUCCCCUCCCGAAUCUUCUUCUCCUCUUCUCCAAGAAAACCGAUUUUUUAUUUCCGAAAUCUGAAAAAUCCCCUAAAAAUCCCAAAGCCUUUUUCGUGUAAACGGGUUUUAGGAAAAUGGACACUUAGGAUCCAAAGAUCUCGAUCUUAUGACUCCCAUUUAACUAUCAUCCAUUUAUGAAUGGCUCAGAUUCUUCAAAGAAAUUGAGAAGAGCGCGUGAGAUGAGAAGAAAAUAUCAGAUGCUAAUGAUGAGGGGGGACCAUGUGAGUUAACUCAUCGGGUUUGGACGAGUUCCGGCGAGUUUGGGGUGGUAGGCGCGCGGGCAGAGGUGUGUUGGAGAGGGUCAGGCGCCAUUUGGUUGAAGUGAUUUAGGGUU
rnacentral:lncRNA from 1 species